rfam:Phaseolus vulgaris cultivar G19833 chromosome 11, whole genome shotgun sequence.
GCUGAGCUGGGUUACUCCAGCUUGUGACCCAAGUGGGAGCUUCAAUGUGAUGGAACAGCACUGAGACUUGCUGGGUUGGGCUGUGUUUGCAAUAUGUUGGCCUGUCCAUUCCAAGUUGAGAGUGCAGUCUGGGGACUUUAGUGAAGGCUAAGGUCUCUUGGCUCUUAGAGUGAAGGGCACAGCGUGAGGCUGGUUUCACAGAGCAACGACCACCUUCCACUCCCGACAGUGGAGGGAUCACAGGCUGCAGCAACCUCAGUCCUUAAUGGCCUGGUCAGGCUAGUCUGCUUGGACUAUCACAUUU